rnacentral:misc_RNA from 1 species
AUUUUACACAUCAAAAUGAUUAGCAAAGUCUAUGUUACAAUCUACCCACUUGUAUUUACGCUUUCAUUUUAUAUUUUCCCGAUGUGGGAUUUAUAAUCUCAACAGUGUGAAUUAGCUGCAUUUGACCUAGUGACUGUCAUUUUUAAUCUAAGUUGUUACUCUUCUACAGUAUGUUACUUAAGUUGUUGCAUGUAAUUGAUAUGCUGUAGUAGAGAUUAGGGAGAGCAGUUUAGAGAGAGUAUUAGGUGUGUAACUCAGCAAAUAUUCAGCUGCUUAUGUUUUUUAGGGCUUAAUUUCACCUACAAUCCCUCAAAUUAGGGUGUUGUAAUGUUACACUCUUUCAUCGUCAAUUUAUUUUGCAAAACUCCGUAAACAAUCGGUGUAGAGAGAGUAUCUAGUGUGUAACUCAGCAAAAAUUCAUAUAUUUUCUAGGGCUUAAUUUCUCCUAUAGUCCCUCAAAUUAGGGUGUUGUAAGGUUACAGUCUUUCGUAUUUCACCUUCAAUUUUAUAUCGCAAAACUCCUGAAUCGAUAAUUUGAUUAACAACAAUGUCACUCUUACCUGUCUGUUGGGGCCUCUGCGCAGAUGCUGAUGUGGCACUUUCACAUUGGAUUUUCAAAAAGGCGACCUAGUGCAUGA